UACAGAGGGUGCAAGCGUUGUUCGGAAUUAUUGGGCGUAAAGCGCGUGUAGGCGGCUUUGCAAGUCGGGUGUGAAAGCCCUCAGCUUAACUGAGGAAGUGCGCCUGAAACUGCAGAGCUUGAGUACCGGAGAGGAUGGCGGAAUUCCCCAAGUAGAGGUGAAAUUCGUAGAUAUGGGGAGGAACACCGGUGGCGAAGGCGGCCAUCUGGACGGAUACUGACGCUGAGACGCGAAAGCGUGGGUAGCAAACAGG
rnacentral:rRNA from 1 species